rnacentral:lncRNA from 1 species
ACCUGCUCCGGUCGGGAGCUGGAGCGAAGGAGACGGCGGCGUUGGAGGUGUGGCUGGAGGUGGAGUCGCAGCAUUUCGGGCCGCCCAUCGCGGAUCUGGUGUUCGAGAUCUUGAUCAAGCCGUUGUUCGGGGGAGCCACCGAUCCGGCGACGGUGGAGAAGCACGCGGAGAAGCUGGGCAAGGUCCUGGACGUGUACGAAGCCCACCUCUCCAAGAACAAGUACCUGGCGGGUGGUGAGUUCACCCUGGCGGACCUCAACCACAUGCCCUACACCCACUACCUCAUGAAGACCCCCAAGGCGGAUCUGGUCACCGCCCGCCCCCACGUGCUGGCCUGGUGGCAGGAAGUCUCCGCCCGGCCGGCCUGGAAGAAGACCGCCGCCGGCAUCCCCCUGUAACGAGAUGGAUGGCUUUCUGAUGCUCUGU